UUUAUAAUUUAUGUCUUAUAUUAUAAAAUAUAUCAUUUAAGUAUAUUUAUGAACUAAAUUUUUUUAUAAACUGAUUAGGUUUUAAUUUACAAUUAAAAUAUAAUUUAUUAGUACCUUUUGUAUCAUGGUAAAUUUAAUUAUAAAUAUAUAGUUAUUUCCCGAAAAAUAAAUAUUUAUUUAAUAAUUUCUUUUUUUGUUGUAAAAAAAUUGUUAAUUUUUAAAUAGUAGUGAAAUGUUAAUCGCUUUAUUUUAUAUCUGGUUAACUAGGAAAUCAAUUUAAUUGUGAACUUAUUUUUUAGUUUUAUAUUAUUUUGGAUAAUCUAAAUUUUUUCUUAAAAUUUUAAUUUUUAUAUAUUUAUUAAAUUUUAAAUCUUUUUUUUAAGUUCUUAAUUGAUUAAUAUUUUUAUUUACGAUUUUUUUGUAUUUAUGUUUUUACUUGUUAAAAUUAUUUAAUUAUUUUUUAAUUUCUAUAAUGAUUUAAUUAGUAAAAUUUUAAAUUAAUUUUUAAUGAACUCGACAUUUAUUAUUUCCAACUGUUUAUCAAAAACAUUUCCUUUAGUUUGUUGUUAAAGGUAAUUUCUGCCCUAUGAAUUUUAAAUGGCUGCAGUACCCUGACUGUGCAAAGGUAGCAUAAUAAUUAGUCAUUUAAUUGUUGACUUGCAUGAAUGAAUACAUGAGAUAUAAAUUUUAUUAGUUUUAAUAUUUAAAUUUUAUUUUUAGGUAAAAAAGCUUAAUUAAUUUUUAGGGACGAUAAGACCCUAUAGAACUUUACAAAUUUAUUAAAUUAAUUAGAUUUAGAAGUCUAUUUUAUUUUUUUUAUUAAAAUUUGUUUGGUUGGGGUGACAGGUAAAUUUUACUUUACUUUAUUUAAUCAUUAAAUUUAUGUUUUUAUUGAUCCAUUGUUUAGACAAAAAGAAAAAGUUACCUUAGGGAUAACAGCGUAAUUUUAGUGGGGAGUUCUUAUUUAUACUAAAGUUUGCGACCUCGAUGUUGAAUUAAGAUUAGUUUAGGGGGUAGGUUUUCUAAAACUAAGUCUGUUCGACUUUUAAAAUCUUACAUGAUUUGAGUUCAAACCGGUGUGAGCCAGGUUGGUUUCUAUCUUAAUAUUAUUAAAUUUUCUUAGUACGAAAGGACCAGUAAAUUCAAUAUUUUUUGUAA
rnacentral:rRNA from 1 species